UUCUCCCAAGAGUGCUCAGAAUCAGUUCUACAUUUGCCGUCAGGAGGGGCUGCAAAGAUAUGUCAUCUACCGUGUGAACUUGUCUGAUACCCACCCUAAGUCCCAAAGUGCUGAUAGUGAGAAGUUCAGGCUGGUAUCAUAAUGAGCAACAUUGGGAUACUCCACUGAUGUGGUACGGAUGAAAUAAGAGGCUUCACGCAGUUCCCUCAUCGCUGACCACUGAACAACACCACAUCAUCCCAAAACAGCCCAGGACCUUGCAGCGACAGGACUUUGCUGGUGUGAAAUUACAGCUUCAAAUACCGUUGAGGUCACUGGUGACAGAAAGCCCCACGGAAUCUGGCAGCUACUGGAUGAUCCGAAGGAAACUGAGCUUCAGCCUCUUCCCAAGUGUUUCAUGCUGUAAGAUCCACCCUUAGCACUUUGUCAGCUGCCUGCUUGGAAAUGAUAGAUGAAAGUCUAUUAGAAGUCAAGGCCCUGGUCCUGAAAAUGUUUCCUGAUCCACUGAAACUUCUGAGUUACUGCUUGACAUGCUACAGAGCCCACCUGCAUCUCUGCUGUCAUGGCAGGUCAAGACUCCUGAGACUGUGAGGACAAAAACAGGCUGCACAGCAUUGGUGAGGAUGAGCAAGACAUAGGUUUAAAGCCAGAAUGCAGACAAGCAUAGAGAAUAUGAUAAGUAUAGACUGCAUCAGUGAAGCUGGUCCGUAAUCAUCCCAUGAAAAACAGGAGAGACUGAGAUGGUCAUCUACAUUUUUAAUACUUUAGAGGUAUCACUGUCUAUCUGUUCUUACAUAAAGCAGAAAAACCCUAAACCAAUAAACAAAAUAUUGCUAGUCAUUAAAAUUAAUUAAAACAAUUCAGAUCAGGUCUGCCAUAGAAUGCAACAACUUCAGUUAGUCUUGGUUAGACAGAAAUUGGAAGAAUUGUCUAGUCUUUUCUGCAGAAACUUCUAAGUCUCCUUGCUGUUGUUUUCCUUCUUUUUUUUUUUUUUUUUGUUAUUGUUUUGGAUUUUUUGUUUGCAUGUGCACACAGUCAACCUAUGUCUGUAUAAAAUUUAAUAAUUGCUGCCCAAAAAGGUAACAAAGAAUCCUAAUUCAAAGUCAGGUCUUCUUUUCCUCACUGAAACAAAGUUACCAAGCAUCAGAAUGAUUCAAUCAUACCCGUUUGCUCUUUCUUGCUGUUAUAAUCAGAGUGUGCAACUAAUAAAACAUUUUUAAACAAUAAAGUUCCAGCAUCAAGAAAAAGUG